AUUGAACGCUGGCGGCAUGCUUUACACAUGCAAGUCGGACGAGUGGCGAACGGGUGAGUAAUAUAUCGGAACGUCCCGAGUAAUGGGGGAUAACUAAUCGAAAGAUUAGCUAAUACCGCAUAUUAUUCGAUCGGCCGAUAUCUGAUUCGCUAGUUGGUGGGGUAAAGGCCUACCAAGGCGACGAUCAGUAGCGGGUCUGAGAGGAUGAUCCGCCCAAAUGGGAAGGAGACACGGCCCAAACUCCGACGGGAGGCAGCAGGGGGGAAUUGUGGACAAUGGGCGCAAGCCUGAUCCAGCCAUGCCGCGUGUCUGAAGAAGGCCUUCGGGUUGUAAAGGACUUUUGUCAGGGAAGCGGUACCUGAAGAAUAAGCACCGGCUAACUACGUGCCAGCAGCCGCGGUAAUAC
rnacentral:rRNA from 1 species